GCAGAUGGACAGCGCACACCAGCAGGCUGCACACCUUCUUCCUCACUAUGCAGACACCAUCACAUUCCUCCAUUAUCCCUCUUCCUCUGUGAGUGUGUGUAUGUAUGUGUGUGUCUGCAUUAAAACAUCCAGCUGCAGGCUGACGUUUUUACUCACAUUUACCCUAUUUUAAACAAAUGCAUCAUUCUGCAUUUUUUUAAAUAAAACACGACACUAAAAACGAGGUUUAAAAUCAGUGUUCGCAGGAUUUUCUCACGAUGAAUCUCGCUUUAGAUGUCGAAAUAAAUGAAGCAACCCGUCAGUGAUUGUUCAUACGUGACAAAUCGAUUCAAUUUACAGAAAUGUAAAAACGAUUUUUUUUUCCUGCAGGGAUGAUUGUGAUGAUUUGAAAUAUUUCGGUUCCCUGGUGGAUCAAAUGGCGUCCAUAGGGACAGGAGGGAGGUCUGCAGAAAUGUGACUGCUCCGCUUCAAAUAAACUGCAUUUCAUGCUGCACGUCGAGCCGACAACUUUUUUUCCCUUCUCUUUCAUCAGUCUAUAUUUUGGAGAAAAAAAGGCUGAGCCUGGGCCUGCUUUGAAGAUAAGGCAGAAAAAUCCAUUUGCAGACGGAAAUUUUAAUUUGAACGAGCCCUGCCUUCAGUUUGUCAUUCACACUGCGACGAAUGCUGGAUGGCCCAUUUUGUGCAGCACUUUUGACAGUUUUAAUUGCAAGAAAAAGACGAGGCCUUGUGCUGUGUGUGUGUGUGUGCAGAAAAAUACACGAUCUGCACCAAAAAUAAGCAGCACAAAAGGCCGCAGUCUUUACACCUUCUGCUGCUUUAUUCUAUUUUCUAUCUCAUCUCUAAAAAUGAUCUGCAUCUCCAAUUUGAACCUACGAGCGCAAUUUUGUGCGAAUUCUCCAAAGUAGGAGGAUGACAAAUAUAUUUGUCUUCAUCGCUGCAGCACACAUUUUGAUUUGUCGGGUUUUAAGAGUUAAUAGGAUUAGAUGAUUCUUGGGCAUUUAUGCAGAGGGAAUUCCUAAUCAGGCUUUUUCCAGAAAAAAGGGAAAGAAAAACGGGUCUCCAGAAUGGGCGUGACCCAGCUGGGAAUGCGUCUCUUUUCCCUGCAAAGGGCCCAAAGGUGCUUCAUCACCUGCAACUCCACCGCUAAAAUCACCAACAGAGUAGAAAUAAAAAGGUGUUAUGCGUUUCAAGGCCUCGUGCAAAAAAUGAUAAUAAUAAUAAAAAAAAAAAUCUUUUUUUUUCAAAACGACUGCAAUCAUUUUAUUUUGAUGGCGUUUCUUUAAUGUUGAGAAUUAAGACGUUUAAAUAUGUCUGUUUCCUCUGCAGACUGCUUCAGCUAUUUGAAAUAAAAUGAGGACAUCUUGUCUGAGCGAAGUUAGAUGCUCAGUCGUAUUUUCUGCAAAAAUCCCCCCUCCCUCCGCUCGGUUUAAUGUUCCUUGUCGUCGUCGUCCCCCCCAGUGUAAGGCUGGGGUGGUGUGGGUGGGUUUGGGGGUAGGAUGGAGGCUGUUUUGGGUAAUUUGGCUGCUCUGUUUUUUUUUCUUCUGGUUGGCAGCCGAUUAACUGCGCUGACAAAUCAGGCGCAAAAAGCCAAGGGCUCUCAAGGUAACACUAAUCCCUCUGGGCGGGGAAAGGCAAAAAUAACGCAGGAUUUUAGGGAAUGAUCGUUUUUAAUUUUUAUGUCUGGGUUCAUCAGCUGAACCAUCUUUACAUCCUUGAAAAUAAUAAUGUUUGGUAAAUAAAUGAAUAAAUAAAUCCUCAUUUCUGCUGCAGGUACAUUCAGGCCUGGUACGCACAGGCACGUGAUGUCUUGCACCGUUUAAUUUGGGCUGACUGACCAAUCAUAGCGCAGGAUGGUCACAUAAUUAAAAGGCAAACUAAACUAGCAGAAGGCGGAAGAAAAAUGGAUGCAGUGUGGUGUUACAUAAACUGCUGCUGAGGGUGGUGGUGAGAGAAAAAGGCGAGGUAUUUGUGGGUGUGUUCACUGGUGGAGUGUGUAGUGAUUUGUGUGUAGAUAGAAGUGUGUGUGUGUGCAGCUUUGAUUACUGUGUGUAACAUUUCUCCUUGUGCCUGCAGUGAUUUCCGCGCGUGUAUUUCAAUUUUCUAGUGUGUAUUUUCUGGGGAGUGUAAAUGCAGACAUGGUGUGUGAAUGUCUGCAGAUGUCUGCAUGGGGCAAGCGUCGAAUACGUGUGUGUGUGUGUGUGUGUGUGUGUGUGUGUGUGUGUGUGUGUGUGUGUGUGUGUGUGUGUAGAGGCGUUUGUGGGGUGCUGGGUGCUCUUCUAACUGGGUGAUGUAAUGCCGUGAAGGGUGCUGCAGCAGAACCACAGAGCCCAGAGAAGGCGUGUCCUGCCUGCAGAGUAGCUGAUAACAACACGGUGCCCACGCUGCACCCGACGCCAAAAUAACAGGCUCCCACACACACGCACGCACACUCACACACAUGCAAACACAUACACCCUCCCUCACUCUUACUCAUCUCCUUCUUUUUACGUUAAGCCCACCUAAAUUCUUUAUUAGUCUGCUUAUUGAUGCUCGGGCUGAAAAUUUGAAACAAAGGUGAGUGAUUAAAAAAAAAAAAAAAGGGGGGGGGGGGCAUAAUCUUAAAAUUUUACUUCAGGAUUUGUUUAAAUCUGCAGAUGUAGCUCUUAAAAAUCAAUCUGUACAUUACAACUGUCCUCCAGUCUGCAGAAAAAAAGAUGUCUAGCUCUUCAAACCUGAUGCAGGAGAGAGGAUGGUGAAACUAGCAGGAUGGAAAAGUCACUAAUCGUAUUUACUCACAUGACUGCAGGCUAACUUCACCUUUAAUGUGCAUUCAAUGUCCGUUACAUUUUUAAAAACAGCACUAUGUUUUAUAAUUCAGUUUAUUCUGUGGAAAGUGUUGCACAAAUCUCCUUUUACGUAGCAUCAGUUACUGACUUAAAAUAACUAAAAACAUGGGCUGCAAGCUUUGCAUCAUCUGCAUUACAGCCAGCUGAUUGGAUGACUCUUACCAAUGGAAUUCGUCUCAUUUCUAGUCAAAACAUCUCAUAAUAAAUCAUUAAAGCUACACUGACAUGUCAGGCCCAAUGUAGAACCUAUUUAAUGAUAUUUAAAGCCAGCUUUUUUCUUAAUCAGUGCCUCCUGUUUCAAGGAAGAAAAUAGUGCUUGCAACAUCUGCAGCCAUUUUUUUCAUUGCAAUCAAUGAUGAGAUUAUUCUUGGCUCAUAAUAAUAAUACUAACCCUCUCUGCACAGCCAGACACGAGUCAAACCUGCAGGGAGCGUGCAUAAAGUGCAAUCCUGACAAAAGAGGCUGCAAAAUUAUUUAGAAACUUCACCCUAGAUAGAUGCACGGUCCAACACACUCCACACAUUAGUGCUGUUGAUUUUAUUGUAAAAGUUAGUUUGGGAAAAAUAUCCUUUUAAAUAAUAUGAGCGCAUAUUUGAUAGGGGUGGGAGGAAAAAAUCGAUACAGCAUAGUAUCGCAAUGUUUUGUCUGGUGAUAUAUUGUAUUGUCUCAUUUACCAAGUACAAAUCUUUCAAAUUAAUCACUAAUAUGAAGUCAAUUCGAUGAUAAUGGAAAAAUAAAAUCACCUGUUUGUCCAGUUUGGUUGGCAGAGGUGACAUCAUAGAGCAGGAGUAAGUUUGUGCAACAAAUGUAUAUGAGGUUUGCAAGAUGUGCUACAUGAAAAUAAAAUACAGCGUAAAUAAGACAAACAUAAAGGAGAGACAGAUGCUAAAUAAGCUAAACAGUUGAAAAAAUUGUAUAAAUCGCAAUAUAUGGUAUCGCAAUACUCACUGUAUUGCAAAAUGUUAAAAAUCACAAUAAUAUUGUAUCGUGGCCCAAGUAUCAUGAUAAUAUUGUAUCAUGGGGCCACUAGUGAUUCCUAGUAACCCCUACUAUUUGACAACCCCAAUCUUCACUGCCAUAGGUGAAAGGUACUCAGUAAUUUUAGUACAUUUCAAAUCAAAUACCUUUUACUUUUCUUGGAGUAAAUACACAGAUUUUGGGGCUAUCAUAGUUGUUGCAGUGGUUGCUGGUUCAACACCCAGCCAUGACCAUUUGGUGCAUAUUCUAUAUUCUUCUUUCCAAACCCCACAUUUUUUUAAUCUAUUCUCAGCUUUUGAAUUUAUUACAGGCAGAAAUGCUUCCCCCAAAAACCUUCAAAAUAAUGAUAUUAUCAGUGCUUUUAUUAAUGCUGCUGAAAAACAGGGAUUUUGCAGGAUUGAAUAUGUCAGCCAUGCACCUCAAAAAGACAGAAAAUCUAAAAAAGACUAAAAGAGAAUUAACCAGCUAAAAAUGAUUUCGCACAAUCACUGCUGUCAUCUUUUGAAUGCUCAUUGUCGCAUGAGUCUGAUAAGAAAACAUUCGAUUAUACAAGAUUGUGAUUUUCACCGUCAGAGACGUUUGCAGUGUUGUGGUUCCUCCCUUAAGUGUCUGCAGGUCUGCUCAGCUUCAGGAGUGGAUUUGCAUCAGUAUGACUGAGAGUGUUUCUCCUGUUACACCCUCUCUGCAGGUUUUUCCACACAUGAAAUGAGCCCGAAAAGAUGGAUAUCAGCCUUUAAGAUGGAGGCUGAAUUCUGCCAUGUGCACCCAGAAAGGUGUGUGUUUUUGAAACGUGAUGAGGAGCAAGGAGAAAGAGGAGUGUCGGGGUGUUUUUGUGAGAUGCAUGAGUGGGAGUGGAUGAGGUGGAACAUCUCUCCCUCCUCUCUUGUCUUUCCUCCUCUGUCAGGUUUCAUGUCCUGGUCAAAUGAUGUUGCUUGUUCAAUGCAGCAGCAGAGACAUGCAGAAGAAAAUGGCACCUCUGUGGAUCAGAUGUGAGCUGCAGCUUAUUCAGAGGCCUCACGCUGAGCUGAGCAGAUCGGAGAAAUCUCACUGAUUUUAUCUCCCAGCUGUGGAGGACAUUUUGUCAUUGCGUCUGGACGAACUCACUGCAUCUGUGCGCAUGUGUUUUAUUUUGUAGAGUGUGUGUGUGAUGAUGAGGGCACCUGCUGUAAAAUUACAGGCAAGUGGCAUCCAUUAAAACACAAGGGGCCUGCCGGUGGGCUGCUUUUAUUUGCAUUUAUACACACACAUGCGCGCGGCCGUCUCAGUGUGUGUGGUUGUUAAUAGGAUCCAGAGUGCCGCUGCCUUUUGUCAGUGUGUGUAUGUGGAUUCGUCCCUGUGGGGUUGGUCAAAGGAGCCUUUCACCGAGAACAAUGAUCCAUGCCGUUUAGCCUUUUAACCCUCACGCUCCCCACACUGCAACAAAAGACACACACACACACACAUGCUGCAGAGAGCAGGAACAAGUCUGCAUCUGUAAACACAAGUGUGAUUUCUCUGACACUGAUCCGCUGAUAGACUCAAAAUGCAUCAUUUAAAAAGACCACAGCAGUAAAGGCACAAAAUAAUCAAAUAAAAAAAAAAAAACAGAAAAGACAGAAAGUUCAAUUUUAACAGCUUUCAGGUUUAAGUGUAAAAAAAAAAUAGCUUUAAAGUAUCUGAGGAAACAUAAGUCAGGCUUUGGAGAGGCCAGUGGAUAUGUUGUUUCAGAAUGAGACUGCAAGGGACCCAAAGGUUGAUCAAAAUGCUAAGAAAAUCUGAACUGUGUUACAGUUAAAAAAAGCAAAAAACAAAGAAAAAAAACCAAACCCGAUAAAUUAAAUAAAACAUUCUGCAAAUUCAACAUGAUGGAGAAGCAAUUUUAUGUCUGGAAAUCAGCAAAAACAUCCACAUUAUUGCAGGAAAAAAGGGCCUAUGGUUGCGAGUAAAACAGCUCUUGAUUAAUAUGACAUCCAACUUUGCACUAAAAAAUUUUGGCUCAUUAUAAACCCAAACCUGGUGGAAAUAAACCCUCAGCUUUGGUUUGGAUGUCUCUGUGACGUCUGGAGCAUGGAUUGGCUGGUAUCUCUUCUCUUAUCAGAGGCCCUGAGCUGAGCCCAGCCUCCAGGAUGUAUUUACUGCCUUUUUCUCUCUCUAUUAUUUUCACUCAGCCUGCACCUUAGGCCAUCAAAAGAAGAUAACAUCCACUCCCAACCUGGAAGCUUCUGGUCUUGGUGGUCAAAACCUCCCUUGUAUAAAAUAUGCUCCUGCUGCAUGAUGAUAUACUGUAAGUCCAAAGUUUUAACCCUGGCAUUGUAAGUCACACAAGAUUGAAAUAUUUCUCAGAUUAUCCUGAAACAUAAUUGAGAGUAGAAAAGUAAGAUUCAAGCUACAUCUACAUUUUUAAUAAUCAUGAAGAAAAAUCACAAAAAUGAAAAAAAAAAUAAAAAUAAAAUGGGUGGUGAGGAGAAGUAUUUUGUAAUUAUACACAGAGAUGCAUGGUACACAAAGUGAAGACACUGCAGAGUGGAUGUAAAUGCAUGCAUAUGCGUACACAAAUGUAGCCUCCACAAGUUUUUUUUCUUUGGCACUGAAAUUAAAACAGGAUUAAUUUUUAAAGUGGAGAAAAAGCCCUAGAUUUAGAUUUUACACACUCAAGAUUCAUAAAAAACAUACAUGAAAGGUGUGGUGUGGUCCGGACAAGGGCUAAGAAGCCGGGUCAACAUAAAAGGAUGGGGGACGCUUCUGGAUCUUACAGACCCUGUAAUCUUUCUGCUGCACAGGCAGACAGCUUUAACAAAGUAAGCCAAGUGUCUGUAACAGAAGUGAUUCUGGUCAAACGGGACCUGCUGCGUGUUGUGGCGCCACUAAACUGUUGACCUUUGGUCCUGGACUAUGUCACUUUAUCCUAGUUGUAGAAGUCCUGCAAACAUUGUGUUUGCUGGUAGUCUGUUGGCAUCUACAGUAGCACCAAUGCUUUUUACUUUCACGUUGACUGGGCCCCAUUUGUAAUUAUCUGGAGUAUUUAUCUGCAUUAUAUCUGAAUUUAAUUGAAACAAUACGAGCGAGCAGGAGGAGCUGAGGGGAAAACUGGUUGGGAGAGAUAGAGUUUACAUUCAAAAUUUCUCCUAAAAACUGAAACUAACUCAGAUCCUGCCUACCCCACCUUUAAACAUGUAAAGGGUAAGCUAAACAAAACCUUCUUUGUCCACAGGGGGCGCUAAAACUAACGCAGACUAGAAGUUCUGGAGGAGACUUGUUUUUUUUAGAGGACACCAAAUGAGUUUUAACAUGAGUAAUAGCUCUUUAAUGCUUUGUUUGUUUACAUUAUCCUCUUUAAUCAAAUAGACCAACAGUAUUAAGUGGAGCAAAAAAGUAUUUUUGUCUUCACUGAACUUUUGAUUUUAUGGGCAUGUGUUUUAUUGAGAACAUUUGAGGCUGUAUGGACUGUAACAGAUGUUUGGCACACUGAUUAUCCCUCUGAACUAAUUUGACAAAAACAUAGAAAUAACUGAAAGUACCCUGAGUUACAAAUAUAACCUUGAAAGUAGCCCACAUAAUAUCUGUAACCUUUUCUAUUCAGCAGCCAAACCGACCUCUUGAUAAAGAAGUUGUGCAUGACAUCAUAAAGUCCUCUUUUUAAUAAAUGUUGAAUUGUAAACUAAAGAAUUAACUGUAAAACCAUUAUACUAGAAAAUGAACAGCAACAAACGAGCAUCUCAUCAGACCUAAUGUUUGAUAUAAAUACAUGACGACACAGUGCCUUAAAGUUUGUAAGCAUUGUGACAACCAACCCCAGUCUCCCCUACUUUUCAACCUUUACAAGACUAACACUUUACCCACACACAUGGUAAUGAAUCCAUCCAAGUCACACGGUUUGAUCCUUUGAGUCACUUUAGACCCUCAUUUGAUUUAAUGUGUCGUGUGAGUCAUCCUCCACAGCAGCGGUUUGUAGCUGUAGUGCAGCUGUGGGUGGGUGCACGUGCUUAGCCAAUCAGGAGGACUUUCAAUGGAUCAUAGUUAUGCAUUGAUACUGAUGCUGUUUCAUGUGUGUGUUUGAGGAUGCCGGUAAUAUUAUCAGUGAUGUGGCUGAUAUAAUAAGAUUGGUCUGCAGUCAGAUAAGUGGUUCUCAGGUCUUGUUUUAGUUCAUGUGGAUGUUGCAGAACCUCUUGAAAGGGUUAGUGUUCCUGCAUAUACACCCCUGGUUUGUUGUGAAGGUCGCUGCAUGUGCACAAUGCCACAAUAGUUCUUGAUCACUCAUUCAAUAAAUAUUUUAUACCAAUUCAGAGGCAUAAAAGUGAAACUGUACCAAUUCAUCCAAAAUCCAGAAAUAAAUAGGAACCACAUAGAUCAGAAAGAACUUAUCAUAAAAUCCAAAUGGUCCAAAUAUCCCCUCGGUUCUGAUAAUUUCAACACCUCAGCAGGUUGAUAAGCAGCAUAAGUGUGACAAUCUGCAGUCUACGAGGUUUGAUAUCAGGUCAGAGCGAAGAAAACACAUUUCAUGGUUUAUUUUUUGUGCUGGAAUUUAUCUGAAAUAUGUGGACAAGUCUCAGUUUAUCACAUACACUGCAGGCUGAUACAGUAUAGUUCAUUUUCAGUGUGUGUUUUUAUUUCCAUACUGCACAGACUCACACUGUUUCCUUGAUUAUGCUGACUCGCCAGAUCUCUGGGUGCUAUCCACAUAAAGGCAGAUGAUGCAACUGAGGUGUAAUGGUAUAUCUGCACAUGUAUACUCACUAUAACUAAAAUAAGCUAUUGUAAGUAAUUCAAAAUGAUGAAAGUAUUUGCUUUUUAUUACUCAGCAUGUCGCAGGUAUUAAAUGUUGAAGCAUGUUGGCAUUGAUGAUUCAUCUUUCCAUCUUUCAGAGGUCAUAGUGUUCAGCUCCAGAACUCCCCAAAUCCAACAGCUGGUACCACUUACAUUACCAUAUGCAGAUGUUUUGAAAUUGGCCCCUCAAAAAUGAUUGAUUUGCACCUGAGAUAUGUGACCACACUGGUGUUUGGGGUAUUCAAGUUGAGUUCUGCAUUAGAAACCUUUUUUUUUUUUUUGCCUUGCAUUUCAUGGCUGUUUUAUUCCUCUACAUGUAAUUAUUUACACACCAAGUGUAAUAUCCAUUCUCUUAAUAUUUCAUUAGCUCCUCUCUGUGUUUAUCUGUGUGUGCAGAAAGCUGUCUCUCCAGGCCUGUGAUCAGAUAAAGUUGGUCUGCCCGACUCUGCCAUGAGAAUAAUAGGCUCAUUUACUCUGCAGAUGACCGAUAAGACACACACACACGCACGCACACAUGCACGCACGCACGCACACACACAAAAACCCUCUUUUAAAAACAGAAUCCAAAAAUAUCAGCAACAUCACAGGCUUUUCUAAUGAGGAUGGACGGCUGCUGGUCCAGUCAGCUGAGAAGAGUCCACUGAAAUACAGUCCAGCCCUCUGCUUUCUAAGAAAGUGUUUACUCAAUAAGUGUCCCAUUUGUCUUCAUUACAUCAAUAUCCACAUGUAAUUUGUGUUAAUUGUACCAUCCAUCAGGGCUGUCGCUCCUCAGAGGACAAUCAGAUCAUCUCCUCACUGUUGGGUUCAGGGAGUUUGGGGUACUUUGAGAUCUGGUUGGAGUUUGCAUUUGAAUUCUGUUUCUGUUCAUGUUUCACACAACGACUGAGCUUCAGUGAAAUUGAGGUUUGCAGAUUUGUGUCAAAGCGCCUCUGAACCUGUGCUGCAGUGUUGACAUGGACUUACUCUGACCCUCUUUCUCCUCUUCCUCUCUCUGA